rnacentral:rRNA from 1 species
GACGAACGCUGGCGGCGUGCUUAACACAUGCAAGUCGAACGGAAAGGCCCUGCUUUUGUGGGGUGCUCGAGUGGCGAACGGGUGAGUAACACGUGAGUAACCUGCCCUUGACUUUGGGAUAACUUCAGGAAACUGGGGCGAAUACCGGAUAGGAGCUCCUGCUGCAUGGUGGGGGUUGGAAAGUUUCGGCGGUUGGGGCUGGACUCGCGGCUUAUCAGCUUGUUGGUGGGGUAGUGGCUUACCAAGGCUUUGACGGGUAGCCGGCCUGAGAGGGUGACCAGCCACCAUGGGCCUGAGAUAGGGACCAGACUCCUACGGGCGGCAGCAGUGGGGAAUAUUGCAGAGCGGGCGGAAGCCUGAUGCAGAAACGCCGCGUGCGGGAUGCCGGCUUUCGGGUUGUAAACCGAUUUCGACUGUGACGAAGAGUGAGUGACGGUAAUGGGUAAAGAAGCACCGGCUAACUACGUG